UACAGAGGGGGCAAGCGUUGUCCGGAUUUACUGGGCGUACAGCGCGCGCAGGCGGUUGCGUAUGUGAGCGGUGACAUCCGCGGGCUCAACCCGCGGCGGCCCGCUUACACAGCGCGACUGGAGGCAGGGAGAGGGAUGUGGAAUACCCGGUGGAGCGGUGAAAUGCGUAGAGAUCGGGUGGAACACCAGCGGCGAAGGCGGCAUCCUGGCCCUGUACUGACGCUGAGGCGCGAUAGCGUGGGGAGCAAACGGG
rnacentral:rRNA from 2 species